rnacentral:lncRNA from 1 species
GAUACGGUGGAAGAGCCUUGACACCCUACCAGUUCUCAGAGGACAGGGAAGGGUGGCAGUGACUGGAAACUGCUUAAAUUCCUAGCGCUGUUCAACAGGAAGUUGGAGAAAAGGUCUAAAGGUCUAAUGGCCUCAUAAUUAAGGGCUUCUUCUACUCCACAAGUUUAUAAUCAGGAGUUGUCCUGCAGGAAGAAAAGCAAAGGACACAACAAAUGAGAAAGUCACUUUUGCGUUGAGAAUUGGCUAGCCUAGAGGAUGGAAGGCAGAAGACCUUUCCAACACGUUAAGAGCCAAAAGACUACCUUUUAGUGUUUGUUUUGAUUAUAUUUGCCUGUAACCCAGCAACUGGGCCCAGAUGCCAGGAGCCCAAAGAGAACACUGCUGAUGACUGGUGUAUGGAAAGAAAAAGAAUUCCUUUUGUUUUCUUACUUUUAUGGUUCUUCUCAAGAUAUACAGAAAAAGGAGAAUACAAAGCAGGUCCUUCUUGAUCAUCUUUGUAACCAGAUCUUACAGGAAACAGCAGAAGGAGCUCUGGCUGGUGGUCAGGCAUCACUCCCACCUUGGCCUGGUGUUUUCAGGCCAGUUGGAUGUGGUGGAAAUUGCAUGAAGAGGAAUUGAGUAGGUCUGGAUCGUCAAUAACUUGCAGAACACGGCUGAUCCAGAAGCUAGACCAAGGAACACUGGUGGUCUCUAUACAAUUCACAGAAAACUGAAGUGGAAUAAAAUGUCCCCCCUUUGCUGUCGCUUAGUUAUUUCUAUUUAUUAUAACAUUUCCUGCACUGAAUAGAUUUUUCUGAGCAUACACAACUGUUUCUUCAAUUUGAGAUACCAAUAAACAGC